rnacentral:rRNA from 1 species
AGAGCGAACGCUGGCGGCAGGCCUAAUACAUGCAAGUCGAACGGAUCCUUCGGGAUUAGUGGCGGACGGGUGAGUAACACGUGGGAACGUGCCCUUUGGUUCGGAACAACUCAGGGAAACUUGAGCUAAUACCGAAUGAGCCCCCAUCCUUAAACAAGAUGGGUGGGAAAGAUUUAUCGCCAUUGGAGCGGCCCGCGUCUGAUUAGCUAGUUGGUGGGGUAAAGGCCCACCAAGGCGACGAUCAGUAGCUGGUCUGAGAGGAUGAUCAGCCACACUGGGACUGAGACACGGCCCAGACUCCUACGGGAGGCAGCAGUAGGGAUCUUGCGCAAUGGGCGAAAGCCUGACGCAGCCAUGCCGCGUGAAUGAUGAAGGUCUUAGGAUUGUAAAAUUCUUUCAGCGGGACGAUAAUGACGGUACCGCAGAAGAACGCCCGGCUAACUUCGUGCCAGCAGCCGC